UACGUAGGGUGCAAGCGUUAAUCGGAAUUACUGGGCGUAAAGCGUGCGCAGGCGGUUCUGUAAGUCUGUCGUGAAAUCCCCGGGCUCAACCUGGGAAUUGCGAUGGAGACUGCAAGGCUAGAAUCUGGCAGAGGGGGGUAGAAUUCCACGUGUAGCAGUGAAAUGCGUAGAGAUGUGGAGGAACACCGAUGGCGAAGGCAGCCCCCUGGGUCAAGAUUGACGCUCAUGCA
rnacentral:rRNA from 1 species